UGAUUUUAGUGCUUGCACUAAAUGAAACUAGAUACAAGCGAGCGGCGGACGGGUGAGUAACACGUGGGUAACCUGCCCAAGAGACUGGGAUAACACCUGGAAACAGAUGCUAAUACCGGAUAACAACACUAGACGCAUGUCUAGAGUUUGAAAGAUGGUUCUGCUAUCACUCUUGGAUGGACCUGCGGUGCAUUAGCUAGUUGGUAAGGUAAUGGCUUACCAAGGCGAUGAUGCAUAGCCGAGUUGAGAGACUGAUCGGCCACAUUGGGACUGAGACACGGCCCAAACUCCUACGGGAGGCAGCAGUAGGGAAUCUUCCACAAUGGACGAAAGUCUGAUGGAGCAACGCCGCGUGAGUGAAGAAGGGUUUCGGCUCGUAAAGCUCUGUUGGUAGUGAAGAAAGAUAGAGGUAGUAACUGGCCUUUAUUUGACGGUAAUUACUUAGAAAGUCACGGCUAACUACGUGCCAGCAGCCGCGGUAAUACGUAGGUGGCAAGCGUUGUCCGGAUUUAUUGGGCGUAAAGCGAGUGCAGGCGGUUCAAUAAGUCUGAUGUGAAAGCCUUCGGCCCAACCGGAGAAUUGCAUCAGAAACUGUUGAACUUGAGUGCAGAAGAGGAGAGUGGAACUCCAUGUGUAGCGGUGGAAUGCGUAGAUAUA
rnacentral:rRNA from 1 species